GAUGAAGAACGUAGCGAAAUGCGAUACUUGGUGUGAAUUGCAGAAUCCCGUGAACCAUCGAGUCUUUGAACGCAAGUUGCGCCCGAAGCCAUUAGGCCGAGGGUACGCCUGCCUGGGCGUCACACGUCGUUGCCCCCCCAUCUAAUCCUUCGGGAUUGCGGGGGGCGGAUGAUGGCCUCCCGUGCGCCUCGUCGCGCGGUUGGCAUAAAUGCCAAGUCCUCGGCGACGCACGCCACGACAAUCGGUGGUUGCGAAACCUCGGUUGCCCGUCGUGUGCGGUCGUCGCGCAUCGAGGGCUCGAAAAAAUUGCCGGGCUCCGGCUCGACUUUCAACGCGACCCCAGGUCAGGCGGGGUUACCCGCUGAAUUUAAGCAUAUCAAUAAGCGGAGGA
rnacentral:misc_RNA from 1 species